rnacentral:rRNA from 1 species
UUCCACGGUUUCUGCGACGCAGCUGACGCAGUAAGCGCCCCGCCUGGGGAGUACGAUCGCAAGAUUAGAACUCAAAGGAAUUGACGGGGCCCCGCACAAGCAGCGGAGCAUGCAGCGUAAUUCGACGCAACGCGAAGAACCUUACCAAGGCUUGACAUAUACAGGAAUAUGGCAGAAAUGUCAUAGCCGCAAGGUCUGUAUACAGGUGGUGCAUGGUUGUCGUCAGCUCGUGUCGUGAGAUGUUGGGUUAAGUCCCGCAACGAGCGCAACCCUCGUUCUGUGUUGCCAGCAUUUAGUUGGGGACUCACAGGAGACUGCCGGGGUUAACUCGGAGGAAGGUGGGGAUGACGUCAAAUCAUCAUGCCCCUUAUGUCUUGGGCUGCACGCAUGCUACAAUGGCUGGUACAAACGGCUGCGAUACCGCAAGGUGGAGCGAAUCCGAUAAAGCCAGUCUCAGUUCGGAUUGGGGUCUGCAACUCGACCCCAUGAAGUCGGAGUUGCUAGUAAUCGUAGAUCAGCAACGCUACGGUGAAUACGUUCCCGGGGCUUGUACACACCGCCCGUCACGUCACGAAAGUCGGUAACACCCGAAGUCAGUGGCCCAACCGUAAGGGGGGAG